rnacentral:rRNA from 1 species
ACACGACUACAUUAGAUACCCGUGUAGUCCUAGCCGUAAACGAUACUCGCUAGGUGUCGGCCACGGUGCGACCGUUGUCGGUGCCGUAGGGAAGCCGUGAAGCGAGCCACCUGGGAAGUACGGCCGCAAGGCUGAAACUUAAAGGAAUUGGCGGGGGAGCACAACAACGGGUGGAGCCUGCGGUUUAAUUGGAUUCAACGCCGGAAAUCUUACCGGGACCGACAGCAACAUGAAGGCCAAGCUGAAGACUUUGCCGGAUUAGCUG